CACAUGUUCUUAAGGACACAGUUAUAGAGGCAGCUGCACGACUACAAUUCCUCAACAAAGUGCAAAGUCAAAAAUUGUCAGUCAGUUAAUUGAAAAUUAUGUGGAGCAGAUCAAAUUUAUUACUGACAUAUUCAGUGAAGAUGAAGAUUUGGUAGAGAAUACCAUUGACGAGGUGUAUGAUGAUUUGCUCAUUACACUAAACUGUCGUAGAGGUGUAGAAAAUAUUAUUCCAAAGUCAAUUCAUUGGUACGAUGAUAUUUUAACCACAAUGGAUGACAAUCGGUUCCGUCAAAUGCUGCGUGUAGACCGAACUCAAUUUACUCACUUAUUGACCCUCAUCCCUGCAAGACGGAGGUAACAGAUUGCACAAACACAUUGAAACAUUUUCAGCUGUUCACUAACACUGUUACAUUUUCUGGAAUUUUCAAUUGAAUGGGAGAAUACGAGAAACGAAUGCCAAAUUUUUGAAGAAGAAGAAAACGAAAAGCACAGUUUAUUUUAGAUUUUAAAG